GGGGGGGGGGGGGGGGGGGGGGGGGGGGGGGGGGGGGAGGGGGGGGGGAGGAAGAGCGGGGGGGUGGGGGGGGGGAGUGGGGGAAGGGUGAGGAAAAGAUGGGAAGCUACUGUUUAGAGGGGGGUGGAGAAGGGGGAGUGGAGCGGAUGCCGCACACGACCUAGGAGUGAGAGGGUGGGAGGUUCGUAGCUGUCGCGAGGGAUUGGCGCGAUGUAGGAUUAGCGAGUGGGCGGGGUAAAGGGCCACCAAGGCGACGAUCCGUAGCUGGUGUGAGAGUGUGAUCAGCCACACUGGAACUGAGACACGGUCCAGACUCCUACGGGAGGCAGCAGUGGGGAAUAUUGGACAAUGGGCGCAAGCCUGAUCCAGCCAUACCGCGUGGGUGAAGAAGGCCUUCGGGUUGUAAAGCCCUUUUGUUGGGAAAGAAAAGCAGCAGGUUAAUACCCCGCUGUUCUGACGGUACCCAAAGAAUAAGCACCGGCUAACUUCGUG
rnacentral:rRNA from 1 species